rnacentral:rRNA from 1 species
CACGUAGGCACCAAGCGUUGUCCGGAUUUAUUGGGCGUAAAGAGCUCGUAGGCGGUUCGGUAAGUCGGGUGUGAAAACUUUGGGCUUAACCCAAAGCGUGCACUCGAUACUGCCAUGACUAGAGUUCGGUAGGGGAGUGGGGAAUUCCUAGUGUAGCGGUGAAAUGCGCAGAUAUUAGGAGGAACACCAGUGGCGAAGGCGGCUCACUGGCCCGAUACUGACGCUGAGGCACGAAAGCGUGGGGAGCAAACAGG